GACGAACGCUGGCGGCAUGCCUAAUACAUGCAAGUCGAACGCGACCAGCCGGUGCUUGCACUGGCGAAGUCGAGUGGCGAACGGGUGAGUAACACGUGAGAAACCUACCCUGGAGUGGGGAAUAACUCGAAGAAAUUCGAGCUAAUACCGCAUACCUUCUUACCGUCGAAUGGUGGUUUGAAGAAAAGAUUUAUCGCUCUGGGAGGGUCUCGCGGCCUAUCAGCUAGUUGGUGAGGUAACGGCUCACCAAGGCAUCGACGGGUAGCUGGUCUGAGAGGACGAUCAGCCACACUGGAACUGAGACACGGUCCAGACUCCUACGGGAGGCAGCAGUAGGGAAUCUUGCGCAAUGGGCGAAAGCCUGACGCAGCAAUGCCGCGUGCGGGACGAAGGCCCUAGGGUCGUAAACCGCUUUCAGUAGGGACGAAAAU
rnacentral:rRNA from 1 species